GGACUUGGUAAGGCCAAGUCUCUGGCACUCUUCCAUGGCUGCCCACACAGACUUGAAGUCCAUUGGCAUAAGGUCCUGUUUAUCAAAAGGGCGUUCUAUAGUGACUGGUCCAGGAGUAACACUGAUGGGCCAGUGGAUCAGAUAGAGGUCUAGGUAUUCCAGCUGAAGAGUCCUAUACAAA